UACAGGGGGGGCAAGCGUUGUUCGGAAUUACUGGGCGUAAAGGGCUCGUAGGCGGCCAACUAAGUCCGACGUGAAAUCCCCAUGCUUAACCUGGGAACUGCGUCGGAUACUGGAUGGCUUGAAUUCGGGAGAGGGAUGCAGAAUUCCAGGUGUAGCGGUGAAAUGCGUAGAUAUCUGGAGGAAUACCGGUGGCGAAGGCGGCAUCCUGGACCGACAUUGACGCUGAUGAGCGAAAGCUAGGGGAGCAAACGGGG
rnacentral:rRNA from 1 species